ACUGGGCAUGGUAGUACAUGCCUGUAAUCCCAGCAACUUGGGAGGUUGAUGCUGGAGUUUGAGACCAGUCUCAGCAACUU
rnacentral:sRNA from 1 species